rnacentral:lncRNA from 1 species
GGAACUCGUCACAUCUCCUAGCUGCUAUCCUAAAAACGCAGCCAGAAAUCAUAAGCUGCAUGUCACCUCAGCCCAGAAAUUGUCACACCACUUUGUAUUUACUUUUUAAGAGAGGAACCUCAGGCAUCUCAGAUGUGGUACCCUCCAUACUGACAAUAAAUCAGUCAUUCUCUGUUAAAGGCACUGCUUUGUAUCAAAGAAAUUGCUAACAAUAUCAACUCCUUAGCUUUUAUUCCUUUGUUUUUCUCUCUUUUUUAGUUCUAAUCGCCAGUCUAAAGUCUCUGCCUGGAUUCCCUGCUCCAACCUGGCUGGAAAUUUCAGGUGCUGCUGAAACCACCCAGUUGUUUGUCCCAGUGAAUACAGGGCAUGUUCCUGGGACUACUGCAAAGAGCAAAACAGGGCAACGCUGUGGGCACACGGAGGAAGAAAAAUCCUGGAAAAAAUUAUGGCAACGAUCAAAUCCUCUGGUACUCAUUAAAAGCUGCACCAUGAAAAGUUGGCCAGAGGCAACUGAGCUGAAGCUUGAGCGAAUGCAAAGCUGGAGAACUGCUGCACCCCUGAAUCAUUCCCUGAUAGGAAACUGUCACAGACGCUGCAUGAAGAAUUUAUGCCCUGAACUAAGUUGA